rnacentral:rRNA from 1 species
UACGUAGGGGGCAAGCGUUGUCCGGAUUUAUUGGGCGUAAAGCGCUCGCAGGCGGCUCGAUGCGUCGUGCGUGAAACACCCCGGCUCAACUGGGGAGGGUCGUGCGAUACGGUCGGGCUUGAGGCCAGUGGGGGGAUGCGGAAUUCCGGGUGUAGUGGUGGAAUGCGUAGAGAUCCGGAGGAACACCAGCGGCGAAGGCGGCAUCCUGGACUGGUACUGACGCUCAGGAGCGAAAGCGUGGGGAGCAAACAGGG